rnacentral:misc_RNA from 1 species
GAUGAAGAACGCAGCGAAAUGCGAUAAGUAAUGUGAAUUGCAGAAUUCAGUGAAUCAUCGAAUCUUUGAACGCACCUUGCACCCUUUGGUAUUCCGAAGGGUAUGCUCGUUUGAGUGUCAUUGUACUCUCACACUUCUAAUUCCUUUCGGGAUUGGGAGCGGUGGACUUGGGUGUUGCUGCUUUAGUUGUGGCUCACCUCAAAUAAGUUAGUGCAACUCUUGGUUGGAGAUAGUACGGCGUGAUAAGUGUCUUCGCCGGCGCCUCUGUAAGGAGGGUGGCCGAUCGGGAGCUCUGUGCUUCAAACCGUCUUCGGACAAUCUUUGACAACUUGACCUCAAAUCGAGUAGGACUACCCGCUGAACUUAAGCAUAUCAAUAAGCGGAGGA